UACGUAGGGGGCAAGCGUUGUCCGGAAUCAUUGGGCGUAAAGCGCGUGUAGGCGGCCCGGUAAGUCCGCUGUGAAAGUCAAAGGCUCAACCUUUGAAUGUCAGCGGAUACUGCCGGGCUAGAGUCCGGAAGAGGCGAGUGGAACUCCUGGUGUAGCGGUGGAAUGCGCAGAUAUCAGGAGGAACACCGGUGGCGAAGGCGGGUCUCUGGGCAGUAACUGACGCUGAGGAACGAAAGCGUGGGUAGCGAACAGG
rnacentral:rRNA from 1 species